UGCCUAUGAUGCAUUCAUAUUGCACGUAUUAUCAGAUCAAGGAUGAUGAUACUUAAAAUUGUCACUACCUCUGAGGCA